rnacentral:rRNA from 1 species
AUUGAACGCUGGCGGCAGGCCUAACACAUGCAAGUCGAGCGCGCGGCGGACGGGUGAGUAAUGUAUGGGGAAUUCCCGAUAGAGGGGGAUAACUACUGGAAACGGUGGAUAAUACCGCAUACUGUCGGAGACCCCAUAUGGGAUUAGCUAUUAGGUAAGGUAAUGGCUUACCUAGGCGACGAUCCCUAGCUGGUCUGAGAGGAUGAUCAGCCACACGGGGACGGAGACACGGACCAGACUCAUACGGAGGCAGCAGGGGGGAAUAUGGCACAAUGGGCGCAAGCCGGAUGCAGCCAUGCCGCGUGUAUGAAGAAGGCCUUAGGGUUGUAAAGUACUUUCAGUCGGGAGGCGUUACCGACAGAAGAAGCACCGGCUAACUCCGUGCCAGCCGCCGCGGUAAUUC